rnacentral:rRNA from 1 species
CCCAGUAAACGGCGGCCGUAACUAUAACGGUCCUAAGGUAGCGAAAUUCCUUGUCGGGUAAGUUCCGACCCGCACGAAAGGCGUAACGAUUUGGGCACUGUCUCAACGAGAGACUCGGUGAAAUCAUAGUACCUGUGAAGAUGCAGGUUACCCGCGACAGGACGGAAAGACCCCGUGGAGCUUUACUGUAGCCUGAUAUUGAAAUUCGGCACAGCUUGUACAGGAUAGGUAGGAGCCUUUGAAACGUGAGCGCUAGCUUACGUGGAGGCGCUGGUGGGAUACUACCCUAGCUGUGUUGGCUUUCUAACCCGCACCACUUAUCGUGGUGGGAGACAGUGUCAGGCGGGCAGUUUGACUGGGGCGGUCGCCUCCUAAAAGGUAACGGAGGCGCUCAAAGGUUCCCUCAGAAUGGUUGGAAAUCAUUCAUAGAGUGUAAAGGCAUAAGGGAGCUUGACUGCGAGACCUACAAGUCGAGCAGGGUCGAAAGACGGACUUAGUGAUCCGGUGGUUCCGCAUGGAAGGGCCAUCGCUCAACGGAUAAAAGCUACCCCGGGGAUAACAGGCUUAUCUCCCCCAAGAGUUCACAUCGACGGGGAGGUUUGGCACCUCGAUGUCGGCUCAUCGCAUCCUGGGGCUGUAGUCGGUCCCAAGGGUUGGGCUGUUCGCCCAUUAAAGCGGUACGCGAGCUGGGUUCAGAACGUCGUGAGACAGUUCGGUCCCUAUCCGUCGUGGGCGUAGGAAAUUUGAGAGGAGCUGUCCUUAGUACGAGAGGACCGGGAUGGACAUACCUCUGGUGUACCAGUUGUCGUGCCAACGGCAUAGCUGGGUAGCUAUGUGUGGACGGGAUAAGUGCUGAAAGCAUCUAAGCAUGAAG